GUGUCACGUAAAACAUGUCAGACCAAAGAUGUUAUAAUGAGGUGAAGGAAUGGUUCACUCUUUCGUGUAACCUUCCGGAAGUGAAUGAUCGUAGACGACACACGUGUGUAAAAUGCAUACUGUAAACAGAUCAAACUCAUCUUGUCUCCUCUUAUUAUCUUCGGUUGACGCGAAAAGAAAAAACAUGGCGGCGCGGUCAAACUACCCAUCGUCAGAUAACUUUCGAUUUCUAGAAAGUGUUUUACUCAAUUAUUUCAAUCAAUGGUGAGCUCACCCGUGAUGUAAUGAAUUAUAAAUAGUAAUUGCUAUUAGCUAAUUCACAUUGUGGUUUGUGUCAGCCGAGAGUUAUCUAAAUAUGACCGCUUGUAUUAUGUAAAUCUUUCCUCAGUUAGUAGGCUGGACACAUUACAUUUUUAACAACGCAUUUUUUCUGAUAAGAACUAGUUCAUUGCAUCUGCCGUGGAGCCCAGUUUCAUAUUAUUACCAUAUGUCCCAGCUGCUUGCCUUAGUUUUGAAGUAAUCACGAAAAAACAGGCCUUAUUUUAUGGCAUUUUUCACCCUGACAGGAGAUAGAAGCAGAGUCUACAGACAGUGCAGGGUGGAGAGCAGUUCAGUAAGUCCUGCAGAGUCUUCACAAACUGAAGAGGAAGAGGCCCAUCAAGAAUAUGGAAUCUCCACUUCAAGACGCCGAUCACCCGCUCUUUAUCAAAAUGCACAUUCAUAUUUUCAUAAUAUUAUUUUGAUUCAAGAAAUACAAUACAUGGCCAAAAGUAUGUGGACACCUGCUCUCAUUCCAAAAUCAAGGGCAUUAAUAUGGAGUUGGUCUGCCC